rnacentral:lncRNA from 1 species
UCAUGGUUAUACGAUUUACACACAAAAUAGAACAUCGUCUCUGAUACAAGACUCCAUAAUAGGAAAACCAAAACCCACAAGUCUAAUGACAAGGUGGCCAACACAUGCAUCCAGAUAGCGACCGACGGCGAAAAAAGCAUCAUUCUAGUAAGAGACUUUAGCCAUAGUAAAAUCCCAAAGCCAGAAGAAAUCGCCAACACGAUGACUGUCGCAGAUACCAUAUUUUCCUUCAAGAGCAACCUACUCUUCGCCAUGGCUUUAAACCCACGAGACUCUUCCAACACAGAAACAACACCAGCCAAUUGUAACACCACUACCAAAUACAACAACCCAACAAAAUAAAAAACAAAAGCCACACCCAAAGUUGUUCUAUCAACUGUUCCUAAUGGCAAAAUAAUGAUGAACAAAGCAAGUCCAACGAUCAUAUGAUAUAUCAAGAAAACCAGAAUAACACAAAGAUUCGUGACGAGAAGACGCUUCCAAACCUUGACUACCACGCUCAUUGUGUCCUUAAUGGACGGUUUUUGGCCGGUGUAUAAGGCGGCAACGGUUUGAGACACACCGGCGGUGGAUGAGAUAGAAAAACCAAAGAGGAAAAUGAUGGAUAUGAUGUGGAAGGGCCAAACGGUGGACAUAUAAUUGCUUGAGAAGAGAUGUGAUGUAUUCCCAUAAUCAUGGAGGUUUCUUAGGAUGUCAUUCAAGGUCAACAAGAGGCCUGAAAGAAUGAAGUUUAGAGGGUGGAUGAAGCAAAGUGCUGCCAUGGCAAAUAUUUUCUUGUUUUUGCUGAUAAUUUUGUAGGUUUCUUUGAAGAUUUGGAAGGCUCCAAGGAACUGCAUUUCUUUGUGCUUCGUAUCCAUUGGAUUAUUUUGGAUCAAAAUCUUCUGUAUUUUUGUUAAAGUUGAAGAAGAAGGAGGAGGAGGUUGAAGAGAGAUUUAAAAGCACAUAAGGUAAAUUGAAGAAAAGAUAAUGGGUAUAUAUAAAUGAAGUUUUCAGAAUUGUGAAAUAUCAACCAUUGAAUUAGUCAUAUGUGGUGAGGUAGGCUUCAUUGAUUGAAUAAACCUACUGCUCCAAGGCCGAAAAAAAGACUUUUCUGACAUAUUUAUGAGAGAGGAACUCUCUAAGAAAAUUUCACGAGAGAGGAAGUUUCUAAAGAAAUUUAACUUGGUGCCUUGAAAAUUCAUUGGUUAAUGGAUUUUUUUCUUUUGCACGUCCAUAUUUUAUAAAAUACUAAAAUAUCAACAUUCUCAAACUACAAUUCUUUUCUGUGUACAGUAUGAAAACAUAAGAUAGUCAAAAUAAUUUUAAUAGCCAAAGGAUAAAGACAAGUAAUAGAUAAAACUUUGAUAAUUCAGUUUGACAAAUACGACAUACGUGUAGAGGGCUCUUUUACUCAAAUAAGAAAUAUUAUUGAGAUUCAAAUGUUUGUAACUUUAAUAAGUUAUCAUCACGUCUUAAAAAAUAAACUCGGACUCCCUUUGAAGAAGGUAAUUGUGAAUCUCUUCGAAGACAAGUUUAGGCUCCCUCUAAAUUAGUAAAUUGACUCCUCAAUCAUAUGGUCUUCACGUUUAUUAUAUACGACUAUCUUCAAUGUAAAUUGAUAUAUUAGAAGAUAAUCAUCAUACCUUCAACCAAACUGGUUGAUAAAUCAAAAGCUAUCUCAAUAAGCUGCAGUCAAUCACGUCAAUAAGCAAAUCAAUUAUUUGAAUCCCAACAAUAUAUUUUCAUAUAAAAGAAUUCUAAAUCAAUCUUUUGACAAAAACUCACUAUUUACGAGCCUUUAAUUAUUUUGGACGUGGCAAAUAUAUAGCAACCCAUAUCAUAACUUCUUUCACUCAUUGUUUGAACAUUUUAACAAAUUUAUUCCAUUUUACUAAUUUCGAAAUAACCAAAUAAUUAGUUUUCAUUUUGGAGAAUCUCACCAACAUAUUUAUUUCAAAAUAACUUUAAUGGAUCGAAUAUCAAAUUAACUAAAUUAUUAUUGUGAAUUUGGGAGAAUCUUAACCAUUGAUUUGUUUACCGAUUAUCUUAAUUGAAAAUUUCAAAAUAACAAAAUUAUUACUUUUCAAAAUAGGAGAAUCUCAACAAAUAACAUUAAUUGUUAAAUCUCAAAAUAAUGAAAUUAAAUCUCAACCCUUUUUAUUUCAAACUAACCUUAAUUGGGUGAAUGUUUCAACCUUUAAUAAUUUGAAAAUUAAAAUUAGUUUUCGUAGUAGAUCUUAAUUUAUUCUUUGAAAUUGAAUUUUUAAUUUAGAAAUUAGAAUUAGUAUCUUAAUUUAUUUUUAAAAAUUAAUUUUUUUUCUUCAAUACAAUAGACUAAAAUAUUGUGUUUUUAGUUAAAAUCUUUAAAAUUUCAUCUACAUUUUAUUAAAUAAAUAAUUAAAAACAUCAUCUAAAAUUUCCCCUAAGAGACAAAGAAUAUGCAACUUUUAUACUUUUGUUUGUGUGAGUGAAGGUUUUUGUUCUUUCAUCCCAAGCGUUUGAGAUUGCAGUUGUACACUUCUUCUUGCUUUAUGAAUCGAUAGAAGAUGGAAAAUGAAGAUAGUGUUUGCUUGCUUCAAAUGUUUAUAUUUUUCUUCUUGAAAAUGCAUGAUGAAAUUGAAGAUGUAAUUAAAACUUCAAAUGGAACAGUAACUUGCAAAAGGAAGGGUGGAGAUAUGAGUUUGCCCACUUCAAAGUGGAAAUACUAGGGUUUGCCCGCUUGAAGAAUAUGAGAUCGAAAAAGAAAAAUAAAAAAUGGAGAUGAAGGAAGAUGGAGAAUCGUAAAAUGGAAGAUAAUGGGUAGUAUGUAGUUAUAAUUAUGUUUCAAUGUACUUAUUUUAUUUUAACUUAAGAAAGUACCUUAGACAUAGGGAUGGGUAUUUUGGGAUUUUGCAAGUUCUUGUUGAUUGUACUUUUAUUUUUCGUUUUGCCAUUUUUGAAAAAACAAAACAAUUUGCUCUUUUUCAAAAGACCACUUUAAAAUUGGUAGUUGACCCAAUACUAUUUUAUAAAUUUUAUGGAAUUUUCCUUAUGAAUUGAUUGCCUCUUAACAUUGGACACAUCAUACUUAUCAAAGGUAAGUUGUAAAAGUUGUAAGGUUUCUUUGUCUUUUCAUGGUAGAGAUCAUCCACAAAAUUAGAUAGUUGUUACCAAACUUGUGUAUUUUUUAAUACAACUACAAUAAUUAGAAGGUUUUAAAACUUGCAAACUUCAAUGGGAGCAAGUUAUCACAAACUGUUUCUAUAGUUUUUAUCAAGUCUUAUCUCAAUCAUGGUUGUUGCAUACAACCCAUCGGAGUUGUAUUUUAUUUGUUCCAGCUCCAACAAAUUUAUAUAUGUUUUCAAUUGUCCAUUGAAGGAGAAGCAAAUAUGAACAUUAUUUUGUAUUAAGCAGAAACUUUGAAAUCUGACCUUUCUUAUAUUUGAUGCCUCCAGUUUGUGUAUAAAAUAGUCACAAGAAUUAAAAUAACGAAUGGUCUUUGCUAGUGAUAUUCUUGGCAUUUAGAUACAUAAUUAGGAAGAGUAUAACACUAUUUCCAGUAGGUGUUUUUGUAUGAUGACUUUUGUCCUCUAGGUAAUUAUAACAUUAAAAUUUCAUAUCCAACUAUUAUUAUCUUUGAGAUGUUAAGUCAAUUUUAAUGACUAUAUAAGCUAUGCUACUCUUAUGUACUUAUUCCCUUAGUUACUUACAUGUUCUAAAAUGGAAUUGUCAAUUGUAAUGUUAUAUAAAUCUAUAAUUGCAAGAGCUUUAGUACUUUAAGUUAAAAGUGUUUUUCUUUUUUCUUUUUAAUUCUUUUGUCAAUCACGUUGAAUUAGAAAGUUUUCUUUAGUGGAAGAGUAUUAUAUUCUCAAGAUUUGAUCACCAAGAACCGUGGAUGUUGAAUCCAAUUCAUAGUGAAAGUUGAAAUGUGUGAGAUCCGUGUGAGAUACGUGCGAGAUAAAACAUAAGGGUCUAAGACACUUACGAAACAUGUACAUAGAAUCACUCUAAAUUCCUUGGGAAGGAUAACAAUUUGAUUUUAAAACUCAUAGUGAAAGUUUGAAAUGUGUGUGAGAUGCUACGAGAUAGAUGUGAGAUGCGUGCGAGAUAAAACAUGAGGACCUAAUAAACUUACUAAACUUGCAUAGAAUCACUUUAAAUAGCUUAGGAGGGGUAACAAUUUGAUUUUGAAACUAAUAGCGAAAGUUUGAAAUGUGCGAGAUAGGUGUGAGAUGCUGCAAGAUAGAUGCGGGAUAAAACUAAUAGUGAAAGUUUGUUAGGCCCUUGUUUUUUAUCUUGCUUAUCUCGUACGUUUCAAACUUUCACUAUGAGUUUUAUAAUAAUUGCUUUGUUUCAAUCUUUACUUCCUAUACAUUCCCAAUUUCUUCAUUUUAGUGAAAAUUUUGUGAUUUUCACUCAAUGUAAAGGCCACUUCAAGCAUGAUUCUCCAAUCACCUCCAGUUAGCCAUCCCAUGUCAAAUACUUCAAUGUACGAACCAGGAGAAGAUUGGCCAAUCCUUUUUGACAUUAUGAUUAAAUGAAAUCCAAAUAAUUCAAUACUUCCUCGUAAAAUAAAAUACAAACCAUUCUUAUUAUUUCCUCAUAGAAAUUGGAGUAAAACCUAUAAAGUUCAUCAAGCACAUAUGGUGAACUAUCGUAUACAUAUAUUUAUGUCACAUACAAAUCGACAAUAUUAAUACUCUCGGAUUUUCUAAAAGAAUUGGAUCAUGAUCUGAGACAGUCGACAUGUCGAUACUCUCAUGGUUAUACGAUUUACACACAAAAUAGAACAUCGUCUCUGAUACAAGACUCCAUAAUAGGAAAACCAAAACCAACAAGUCUAAUGACAAGCUGGCCAACAAAUGCAUCCAGAUAGCGACCGACGGCGGCGAAAAAAGCAUCAUUCUAGUAAGAGACUUUAGCCAUAGUAAAAUCCCAAAGCCAGAAGAAAUCGCCAACACGAUGACUGUCGCAGAUACCAUAUUUUCCUUCAAGAGCAACCUACUCUUCGCCAUGGCUUUAAACCCACGAGACUCUUCCAACGCAGAAACAACACCAGCCAAUUGUAACACCACUACCAAAUACAACAACCCAACAAAAUAAAAAACAAAAGCCACACCCAAAGUUGUUCUAUCAACUGUUCCUAAUGGCAAAAUAAUGAUGAACAAAGCAAGUCCAACGAUCAUAUGAUAUAUCAAGAAAACCAGAAUAACACAAAGAUUCGUGACGGAGAAGACGCUUCCAAACCUUGACUACCACGCUCAUUGUGUCCUUAAUGGACGGUUUUUGGCCGGUGUAUAAGGCGGCAACGGUUUGAGACACACCGGCGGUGGAUGAGAUAGAAAAACCAAAAGAGGAAAAUGAUGGAUAUGAUGUGGAAGGGCCAAACGGUGGACAUAUAAUUGCUUGAGAAGAGAUGUGAUGUAUUCCCAUAAUCAUGGAG